GGAAUUGACGGGACCGCACAAGCAGCGGAGCGUGUGGUUAAUUCGUUGCUACACGAAGAACCUUACCUGGGUUUGACAUAUAGGUUGUAGGGAACUGAAAAGGACCGACCUUCGGGAGCCUAUACAGGUGUUGCAUGGCUGUCGUCAGCUCGUGUCGUGAGAUGUUCGGUUAAGUCCGCUAACGAGCGCAACCCUCGUCGUAUGUUAUAUGUGUCAUACGAGACUGCCGGUAAAAAGCCGGAGGAAGGUGAGGAUGAUGUCAAGUCAGCAUGACCUUUAUAUCCAGGGCUACACACACGCUACAAUGGUCUGUACAAUGGGUAGCCAAGCCGCGAGGCGGAGCCAAUCCUGAAAGCAGGCCUCAGUUCAGAUUGCAGUCUGCAACUCGACUUCGUGAAGGCUGGAUUCGCUAGUAAUCGCGCAUCAGCCAUGGCGCGGUCGAAUACGUUCCGGGCCUU
rnacentral:rRNA from 1 species